rnacentral:rRNA from 1 species
UACGGAGGAUGCAAGCGUUAUCCGGAAUGAUUGGGCGUAAAGCGUCCGCAGGUGGCUAUGUAAGUCUGCUGUUAAAGAGUGAGGCUCAACCUCAUAAGAGCAGUGGAAACUACAUGGCUAGAGUGCGUUCGGGGCAGAGGGAAUUCCAGGUGUAGCGGUGAAAUGCGUAGAGAUCAGGAAGAACACCGGUGGCGAAAGCGCUCUGCUAGGCCGCAACUGACACUGAGGGACGAAAGCUAGGGGAGCGAAUGGG